AAUUGCUACAACUAUCAUCACUGCGACGAGAAAUUAUGAACAUGCGAAAAAGAAACCACUAAUUUUACUCGUACAUCCUACUACAGCUACAUCACUAACCUGAACCUUUGACACAUUACUGAACCUUACUUGUCUGAUUCAGUCAGUAUCUGUGGAGUUCGAGGUCGCCGCUGUAUCAUCAAAUCCGUAGUGAUCGUAAGCAAAAUCCCCGUCUGAGGAAGAAGAGGUAUCGGUGGCAGCAUCAGAUUCAGUAUCCGAAUCAGUAACAUCGGAAUCUGUAUCAGUGCUUGUAUCUUGACCCCACAUAUUAGGGUCGUCUGAUGAUGAGUCCGUGUCCGUGUCUGCCUCGUGAUGGUUAGCCGUGAUGUUGUGCUCGGAGGAGGCGUCACCCAGAGCACUGUGGGUCGCCGGGCUCCUCAUGACGCUCACUGAGAGACACAAGCACAGCAGAGCAAUUUUAGCAAGGCUCAUUUUGUUUGACUUUCACGGAAGAUAUCUUAAUUGACGCUACCAGUGAGUUACUGACAGGAGGUUAAGGAAUACAUGAAAUGCACUGGCACUUCCGCACUCAAAGCAUUACCGUUACUCUUAUGUCAUUGCGUCUCUGGUAAUCCCUGCCUGUCAGUGGGACGCCCUCGCCCAGCCGUUUCCUACUUUCUCUCCCUUGUGGCACCUUUUUCUCUAUUAUGGGAGACUCCUGAAGCUGAGGAUUAGUUCUGGGUUUUCAUCCAAUUCUUUAUUUAACAUCCAGCCUUUCACCAACAAAGCAACAAUAGUCCCAUAGGUGACCAAGAUUUUGAUGCCAGACGAGCGCUCGGUAGGUCAGUGAAUUUCACAAGACUUAGGCAACAGUGUCAUUCAUGGUUCUCUAUUGGACAUUGACAUUGUUUGUUACCAGUAUUAUAUUGAUUCCUUUUAUUUCAGCCAAGAAUUGAUAGCUGCCCAAGGUGUAAGCAAGAUUCACAAUGAUGAGGUCAUUGUGACGUGUGCAAUGUGUCCACUGGUCUUGGCCUUCCUGACCAAGGCAGCCACACAAAGGAAAUUCCACGUUAUUGUUGCCGAACGUGCCCCUAAAUAUGAUGUAAGGUGUUUUAUGCGUCUCUUUCACGUCAUCGUGUCUGAUGUGCACAAUACAUAACACAGGGACUGCCACAUGUAGGGGUGAUGGCUUCUUGCAGCUUCCUUUAUUUUAUUAUGUUCUUAUGUUCUCAAUACAUCUUUUACUUGUGCAGGGUCACCCAGUGGCAAAAGCUUUAUGUACUGCUGGAAUUGAGACAACAUUAAUUCAAGACUCUGCAGUGUUCCCCAUCAUGUCACGUGUCAACAAGGUCAUCAAAGGUCAUCGUUGGCACCGAGACGGUGGUGACCAACGGAGGCAUUGAGACCUUUGUUGGUGCAGCCUCUCUUGCCUCACCACCAAAGUUUUAUUCUGUUCCACUGUAUGUGUGCACUCCCACAUACAAAUUUAGCUUGAUGGGCUGUGAAGAAAUAAGCCACCAAACCACCACUUCUAUUAUCCCAGAGGGAACAAAGUUUUGGCCGUCUGUAAAUACUGCGCUGACUCAGCUAGAUUACGUUCCUCCAGAAAAUGUCACCAGUUUGAUAACUAACAAUCGAGGUACUGCACCAUCCUACGUGUACCGGCAGCUUAGCAAACUGUACCGUCCCACUUCUUGUGAUCUCUAAGGUCUCCGUGAACACUGAUGCUUUUCCUGUGCACGUAGUGAACUGCUGACACCAGGUUCCUCACGACGACCGAAGCCCGAGGCGAGCCUCUGUGAACCUCUCGUGUUUCCUGAUCCUCUGAGGCAGCCAGCUCUCCAC